AUUCACAACAACUAUGGCGACAUCAUUUCAAUUCAAACGUGACGGAUCCGAUCUUCUAAGUUGUAUUUGACCUUUUCAUAUUCCAAGCGUUUCAUUCGUAUUCUCCAUGUCGCUUGUUGGUCCUUUCAAAUUGACUUCUAAGUUGAGAACCCUAUGUGCUCGCGGGAGUGAUUUCCUCAUAAACCUGGCGACGAUGUGGUGUUUCCUAUACGAAUCAAACUAUGACACGGCGAUUCCUUCACAAAUCCGAC
rnacentral:lncRNA from 1 species